CCUGCACAUUGUUAAAGCUUGAAGUUGAGGGCCCCGGCUGGCCGAUGAAUUCAGAAGGGUAGGUAGUAUGCUACAUGAGGGGCAAGUCUUUCACUAACACCACCAGGAUCUCUGGCCCCAAUGAGUGGGCUUUGAUAGUAAUUUUGCUACAAGA